GUAGAAGAUUUGAAUGUUUGCAAUAGAAGAAUUAAAUGUUCGCGGAAGCUUUAAAAUGAAGUUAGACUAUGAUACCAAAAUUGAUGAAGAACAAAGGGAAAGAAACAAAAAGGUGACCAAAAUUCCAGCUGGUUGAUAUUAGGUUCGAAAUCCAACCCGAGCAAAUAUGGACUUCUCACUAUUUUCUAGCAACAGAAGGGCAACUCUAGAUUCACCACAGGCCAGCAAGUAUUCUGGCAGUUGUGUGGGGCUGUUCUGAUUCCUAGAAGGUGGCUGGUGAAGGAGAAGGCUGAUCGGUACUAUUUGGUUUCUUUUGGAGACUCUAUUUCUGGUUUUGUAAUUUUUUUUUUUUAACAGUAACUAAGGAAUUUCGAGAUAAAGAAGGUGACAAUAGAAGAAUUAAAUGUUCGCGGAAGCUUUAAAAUGAAGUUAGACUAUGAUACCAAAAUUGAUGAAGAACAAAGGGAAAGAAACAAAAAGGUGACCAAAAUUCCAGCUGGUUGAUAUUAGGUUCGAAAUCCAACCCGAGCAAAUAUGGACUUCUCACUAUUUUCUAGCAACAGAAGGGCAACUCUAGAUUCACCACAGGCCAGCAAGUAUUCUGGCAGUUGUGUGGGGCUGUUCUGAUUCCUAGAAGGUGGCUGGUGAAGGAGAAGGCUGAUCGGUACUAUUUGGUUUCUUUUGGAGACUCUAUUUCUGGUUUUGUAAUUUUUUUUUUUU
rnacentral:misc_RNA from 1 species